GAAAAAAUCUUUAUUACUAUCGCGCGUUAAACCGUGAUAAGGAAACUCCGAGUGUCCGUAAAAAAGGACUAAUCCGUCUGUUUAAAAGGCAGGCGAAGAAAGAGGCGAGCCAGACCGGUGCCAGCCGCCGCGGUAAUACCGGCGGCUCGAGUGGGGGCCACUAUAACGGGGAAAAAAGCGUUCGUAGUUGGGUCGUUAAGUCUCUGGGAAAAUCUACCGGUUUAACCGAUAGGCGUCCAAGGGAUACUGGCGAUCUAGGGACCGGGAGAGGGGAGGGGUACUUCAGGGGUGGGAGUGAAAUCUGGUAAUCCUUGGGGGACCACCUGUGGGGAAGGGGUCUCACCAGAAAGGCCCCGACAGGGAGGAACAAAAGCUGUUUUUUCAAACGGGAUUAGAUCCCGGGUAGUCCCAGCCGUAAACGAGGCGCGUUGGGGGUUUCGUUGACCCCGAGUAAUCGGGGGCCAAGGGAAACCGUGAAACGCGCCGCCUGGAAAGUACGGCCGCAGGGUUUGAAACUUAAAGAAAUUGCGGGGAAAAGGGCAAAUUCUUUUAAACCUGCAGGACUAGUCCUUUAUGGGGGUUUAAUUCUGAGUUUGGGGUUUCAUGGCUAAUUGUUUCUGAA
rnacentral:rRNA from 1 species